rnacentral:rRNA from 1 species
CCCUUAGAUGUUCUGGGCUGCACGCGUGUUACAAUCGGGAGUACAACAAGAUUGCAAAUCCUAGUGGAUGAGUGGUUCUUCGAAAUUUUCUGAAGACUGGGAAAGUUGAUUGAAAUUAUUCAACUCGAACGAGGAAUUCCUUGUAAUUGUAAUUCAUUAUAUUGUAAUGAAUACGUCCCUGCCCUUUGUACACACCGCCCGUCGCUCCUACCGAUUGAACGAUCCGGUGAAUUAUUUGGAGUAGCUCUGGAAGUUGCAGAACUUCCUAUGUCACGAAAUUUUGUAAACCUUAUCGUUUAGAGGAAGGAAAAGUCGUAACA